rnacentral:rRNA from 1 species
AGGGUUUGAUCAUGGCUCAGAAUCAACGCUGGCGGCGUGCCUAACACACGCAAGUCGAACGCGGUCACCCAGCAAUGGAUGACUGAGUGGCGAACGGGUGAGUAACACGUGGGUGACCUACCUUCGAGUGGGGGAUAACGUCCCGAAAGGGACGCUAAUACCGCAUAACAUCCUGCCUUUGAACAGGCGGAGAUCAAAGCCGGGGAUCGCAAGACCUGGCGUUUGAAGAGGGGCCCGCGUCCGAUUAGCUAGUUGGUGGGGUAAUGGCCCACCAAGGCGACGAUCGGUAACCGGCCUGAGAGGGCGGACGGUCACACUGGGACUGAGACACGGCCCAGACUCCUACGGGAGGCAGCAGUGGGGAAUUGUUCGCAAUGGGCGCAAGCCUGACGACGCAACGCCGCGUGGAGGAUGAAGGUCUUCGGAUUGUAAACUCCUGUUGCCCGGGACGAAAUGCUUCAACCUAAUACGUUGAAGUUUGACGGUACCGGGUGAGGAAGCCCCGGCUAACUCUGUGCCAGCAGCCGCGGUAAUACAGAGGGGGCAAGCGUUGUUCGGAAUUACUGGGCGUAAAGGGCGCGUAGGCGGCCUGUUAAGUCGAACGUGAAAUCCCCGGGCUCAACCCGGGAACUGCGUCCGAUACUGGCAGGCUUGAAUCCGGGAGAGGGAUGUGGAAUUCCAGGUGUAGCGGUGAAAUGCGUAGAUAUCCGGAGGAACACCGGUGGCGAAGGCGGCAUCCUGGACCGGUAUUGACGCUGAGGCGCGAAAGCCAGGGGAGCAAACGGGAUUAGAUACCCCGGUAGUCCUGGCCCUAAACGAUGAAUGCUUGGUGUGGCGGGUAUCGAUCCCUGCCGUGCCGAAGCUAACGCAUUAAGCAUUCCGCCUGGGGAGUACGGUCG